rnacentral:rRNA from 1 species
GACGAACGCUGGCGGCGUGCCUAAUACAUGCAAGUAGAACGCUGAAGGAGGAGCUUGCUCUUCUGGCUGAGUUGCGAACGGGUGAGUAACGCGUAGGUAACCUGCCUGAUAUCGGGGGAUGACUAUUGGAAACGAUAGCUAAUACAGCAUAACAGUCGAUGUUGCAUGACAUUUGCUUAAAAGGUGCACUUGCCCCACUACCAGAUGGACCUGCGUUGUAUUAGCUAGUUGGUGGGGUAACGGCUCACCAAGGCGAGGAUACAUAGCCGACCUGAGAGAGGGAGCGGACACACUGUGAAUGAGACACGCGGCAGACUCCUACGGGGGGCGGCGGUAGGGGAACUUUGGCAAUAGACGGGAGUCUGUGCGAGAAACGCCGCGUGAGUGAAAAAGGUGUUCGGAUGUUAAAGCGCUGUUGUAAGAGGAGAACAAGUGUGAAAGUUGAAAGUUCACACUGUGACGGUAACUGACCAGAAAAGGACGGCUAACUACGUG